rnacentral:rRNA from 1 species
GUGAGGAAUAUUGCACAAUGGGCGAAAGCCUGAUGCAGCAACGCCGCGUGAGUGAUGAAGGCUUUCGGGUUGUAAACCUCUGUCCUUGGUGACGAAGAAAGUGACGGUAGCCAAGGAGGAAGCCCCGGCUAACUACGUGCCAGCAGCCGCGGUAAUACGUAGGGGGCGAGCGUUGUCCGGAAUUACUGGGCGUAAAGGGUGCGUAGGUGGCCUUUUAAGUUGGAUGUGAAAUACCCGGGCUUAACUUGGGGGGUGCAUCUAAUACUGGGAGGCUAGAGUGCAGGAGAGGGAAGCGGAAUUCCUAGUGUAGCGGUGAAAUGCGUAGAUAUUAGGAGGAACACCAGUGGCGAAGGCGGCUUUCUGGACUGUAACUGACACUGAGGCACGAAAGCGUGGGGAGCAAACAGGAUUAGAAACCCCGGUAGUCC